CGAACGGUAACAGGAAGCAGCUUGCUGCUUCGCUGACGAGUGGCGGACGGGUGAGUAAUGUCUGGGAAACUGCCUGAUGGAGGGGGAUAACUACUGGAAACGGUGGCUAAUACCGCAUAACGUCGCAAGACCAAAGAGGGGGACCUUCGGGCCUCUUGCCAUCAGAUGUGCCCAGAUGGGAUUAGCUAGUUGGUGAGGUAACGGCUCACCAAGGCGACGAUCCCUAGCUGGUCUGAGAGGAUGACCAGCCACACUGGAACUGAGACACGGUCCAGACUCCUACGGGAGGCAGCAGUGGGGAAUAUUGCACAAUGGGCGCAAGCCUGAUGCAGCCAUGCCGCGUGUAUGAAGAAGGCCUUCGGGUUGUAAAGUACUUUCAGCGGGGAGGAAGGUGUUGUGGUUAAUAACCGCAGCAAUUGACGUUACCCGCAGAAGAAGCACCGGCUAACUCCGUGCCAAGUACGGCCGCAAGGUUAAAACUCAAAUGAAUUGACGGGGGCCCGCACAAGCGGUGGAGCAUGUGGUUUAAUUCGAUGCAACGCGAAGAACCUUACCUGGUCUUGACAUCCACAGAACUUUGCAGAGAUGGAUUGGUGCCUUCGGGAACUGUGAGACAGGUGCUGCAUGGCUGUCGUCAGCUCGUGUUGUGAAAUGUUGGGUUAAGUCCCGCAACGAGCGCAACCCUUAUCCUUUGUUGCCAGCGGUUAGGCCGGGAACUCAAAGGAGACUGCCAGUGAUAAACUGGAGGAAGGUGGGGAUGACGUCAAGUCAUCAUGGCCCUUACGACCAGGGCUACACACGUGCUACAAUGGCGCAUACAAAGAGAAGCGACCUCGCGAGAGCAAGCGGACCUCAUAAAGUGCGUCGUAGUCCGGAUUGGAGUCUGCAACUCGACUCCAUGAAGUCGGAAUCGCUAGUAAUCGUGGAUCAGAAUGCCACGGUGAAUACGUUCCCGGGCCUUGUACACACCGCCCGUCACACCAUGGGAGUGGGUUGCAAAAGAAGUAGGUAGCUUAACCUUCGGGAGGGCG
rnacentral:rRNA from 1 species